AUGCACUCUCCACCUCGAAGGCCAAGAUCGCCAGCUCGCCGGAUCCACCUCGACAGCGAUUCCACUGCAUCGUCGGAUCCACGAGCUCGCCGCGAUCAGCGCCAAGUUCUCCACGAACGACAACAAGAAGACGCUCGUACUCGCAUCGAGCGCCGAAGAGAAGCGCGACGUCAAUCCGACAAGCGUGCUGGGCCCUCUGUCGACAUGCAUGCGCCAGGGGAACCAGGCGACUUGCCGUACGCGGUAGGUUGCCCUGCGUUCACUCGUGAGCUGCGGCAAGUCCAAUGGCCCAGCACGAAGAAUUUCAGACCAGAUGUGCCAGAGAAGUACGACGGCAAGACGCAUCCGUCGGAGUUCCUCAGCAUCUACACCAUCGCGGUGCAGGCUGCCGGGGGACGCGACGACAAGAUCCUUGCCAACUACUUCCCGCUGGUGCUCAAGCCCAAUGUCAGAUCCUGGCUCAUGCACUUGCUGGACAACUCCAUAUCCUCCUGGGCUGACUUGUGUCAUCAGUUUGUCGGCGCCUUUACAGGCGGCCACAAGCCUCAUGGCCAAGAAAGCGACCUUCAUCUGCUCGCCCAGAAGGAAGGAGAGCCCCUGCGCAAGUACAUUCAGAGAUUCAGCCGCGUACAGCACAACAUCCCAGAUGUCCACCCUGCUGCGGUAAUCAGCGCGUUCCACCAGAACGUGCGAAACCGCAGGAUGCGGGAGGAGAUGGCGAUGUGCAAGAUCAGAGACGUCAGUGAGCUAUAUGCCCUAGCCGACAAGUGUGCAUGUGCUGAAGAAGGGAGGAAACUCCCCGGAGAGACUACAGGAGCAGGAGGAUCUGAUAGUGAGGAUGCUGCCCCGGCAAAGAAAAACCGGCGGCGGAACAACAGGAAGAAGAAAGGCAAAGAGGUGCUAGUCGUUGAGCAGUCCGGCAAAGAAGCCAAAGCUAGUAGCUCCGACAAGCAGGUUGCCGCAGGCACCACCCAUCAGGCUGUGGCAGUUGCCGACAAGCAGGAUGGCACCAACAGGCAGUACUGCAAGAUCCACCGCACCAAGGGCCAUGACCUCCAGAGCUGCAAAAAGGUCAAGCAGCUUGUCGAGAAGCAGAAGGUUGAAUACGAGCGGCGCGACAAGGAGAAGGGCCAGGAAGGUACUGGAGGAACCGGCAAGAAACGCCCCGGCCGAGGAGGACGCGGCGGCAAGGCCAAGCAGCGGCAAGGAGACAGACCUCCCCGCGGCCGCGACAAGGAUGAAGAUGAAGAAGACGAAGACGAUCUGGAUGAUGACGAGACUGACGAGCAGGAGUUCCAGAAAGCCACAGAGGUCCUGUGCGUCGACGACAGUGCUUCUCUGCAUACUUCACACCGCCAGCUCAAGCAGUGGCUGCGGGAAGUCAAUGCGGCAGAACCACCCAUCGAGUCACGCAAGCCUCUGAAAUGGUCCAGCACGCCUAUCAUCUUUGAUAUUGAGGACCACCCUGAUCGCAUAACUGCGGUCGGGUGCUUGCCGAUGUUGGUUUCACCAACCAUCCGCAACCUCAAGGUCACUAAGAUGCUAGUUGACGGCGGGGCCGGCUUGAAUCUGAUCUCCUCCGCGGUACUUCAGAAACUCCAGAUCCCUGAUAGCGAGCUCGAAGAGACCGGCACAUUCCAAGGAAUCAAUCCGGGAAGGAGCAAGCCGAAGGGAAAGAUCACGUUGCCGGUAACAUUUGGCAGCGAGUUGAACUUCAGGACUGAGAGGGUCACUUUUGACGUUGCUGAUUUUCCAUUACCUUAA
rnacentral:rRNA from 1 species